CCUACGGGAGGCCGCAGUGAGGAAUAUUGGUCAAUGGCCGGAAGGCUGAACCAGCCAAGCCGCGUGAAGGACGAAGGUGCCAAGCAUUGUAAACUUCUUUUGUCAAGGGACAAAAUCAGGCUCGAGAGCCUGACCGAGGGUACUUGAAGAAAAAGCAUCGGCUAACUCCGUUCCAGCAGCCGCGGUAAUACGGAGGAUGCGAAGGUUAUCCGGAUUUAUUGGGUUAAAAGGGUGCUUAGGCGGGCUGUUAAGUCAGCGGUAAAAGCCCGGGGCUCAACCCCGGCGAGCCGUUGAAACUGGCUGACUUGAGAUGUCGAGAGGUAGGCGGAAUGCGCGGUGUAGCGGGGAAAUGCUUAGAUAUUGCGCAGAACUCCGAUUGCGAAGGCAGCAUACCGGCGGCGAUCUGACGCUGAGGCACGAAAGCGUGGGUAUCGAACAGGAUUAGAUACCCGAGUAGUC
rnacentral:rRNA from 1 species